GUGCUCGCUUCGGCAACACAUAUACUAGAAUUGGAAAGAUGCAGAGAAGAUUAGCAUGGCCCGUGCGCAAGGAUGACAUGCAAAUUCGUGAAGCAUUCCAUAUUUUU
ensembl:snRNA U6 U6 spliceosomal RNA